AGCGAACGCUGGCGGCAUGCUUAACACAUGCAAGUCGCACGGGCACUUUCGGGUGUCAGUGGCGGACGGGUGAGUAUCGCGUAGGGAUUUAUCGUUGGGUGGGGGACAACCUUGGGAAACUGGGGCUAAUACCGCAUGACGCCUUUGGGCCAAAGCCGUGAGGUGCCUGACGAGGAGCCUGCGUCCGAUUAGGUAGUUGGUUGGGUUACGGCUGACCAAGCCUUCGAUCGGUAGCUGGUCUGAGAGGAUGAUCAGCCACACUGGGACUGAGACACGG
rnacentral:rRNA from 1 species